rnacentral:rRNA from 1 species
GACGAACGCUGGCGGCGUGCCUAAUACAUGCAAGUCGAGCGAGCGGAACCAACAGAUUUACUUCGGUAAUGACGUUGGGAAAGCGAGCGGCGGAUGGGUGAGUAACACGUGGGGAACCUGCCCCUAAGUCUGGGAUACCAUUUGGAAACAGGUGCUAAUACCGGAUAAUAAAGCAGAUCGCAUGAUCAGCUUUUGAAAGGCGGCGUAAGCUGUCGCUAAGGGAUGGCCCCGCGGUGCAUUAGCUAGUUGGUAAGGUAACGGCUUACCAAGGCGACGAUGCAUAGCCGAGUUGAGAGACUGAUCGGCCACAUUGGGACUGAGACACGGCCCAAAACUCCUACGGGAGGCAGCAGUAGGGAAUCUUCCACAAUGGACGCAAGUCUGAUGGAGCAACGCCGCGUGAGUGAAGAAGGUUUUCGGAUCGUAAAGCUCUGUUGUUGGUGAAGAAGGAUAGAGGUAGUAACUGGCCUUUAUUUGACGGUAAUCAACCAGAAAGUCACGG